rnacentral:lncRNA from 1 species
GCAUUUCAUUACUAUCAUUCAAGUUAAUAUUUACACAUGAGGAAGCUCUCUUUUAUAGAAUAAGAGAGGCUAUGAAUCUUGCUAGGGAAGCUACUAAGAUUUACAAAGCAUGUGCAGCAGAAGCUUUGAUCCACGUGUGUUUCAAUUCCCAUGAGAAACUCAUUUAUCACGUGGAAAGCGUAGAGAAUGUGCUGCAACAAGGGGAAGCCACGGUUGGCUGCUUUGCACAUGGAAAAUGUGGAAAACGUGGCAGCUAGAUUGUAGAAAACAUGCUUCAAAUCAGCUACAUGGUUGGCUGCACAAUGCACUCCUACUUGCCUCCUUUGUGCUUCCUUGAUUGGCAAUCUUCCUAGGAUGUGUAGGCAUAAUUUCCUACUUUUAUUUGUAUCCUACAAAACAAUGUAAAUGGAUUAGAGAAUCUAUCUAAGACUUUAGAUAAGGAAAGUGUUUUGGAAAUCUUUUAUUGUACUUCCCUUUCUUUAGUCUUAGUUGUAGUUGAUGCUUCUUGGAUGGGAAGUCCCUUUAGCGGUUGCCAUCAUGAUCCCUAGACGAAAAAUUGAAAACAAUUGGUAAAUUGAAGGAAACUUAAAGACAAUGGAAAAGUAAAGGUGAGGUCUCCUGGGUGAGGCUUAGACUUUGGAUCUAAGACACACUCACCGUCUACCAAUUUUUAGGUUAUGAGACUUUAAGUCAAGUUAGCAAAUGAGAGAAGAACACUUAUGAGCUCUUCCACCUCACUUGCUUGAAAUGGCUCACUUACAAAAAUUGAAGAAAGAAACAAAAUACAAGGUGAAGAACACAAAGAAAUGAAAAUAGAAAAUAAUAAGGAAGUUUUAAUGUGGCAGCUUUAGUUGCUCUCAAUCAAAAUCUGAUGCAGCAAUUAACAUCUCAAUAGGCUCACAGCUGCAAAGUGGAGUUUCUCUGCUGAGACAGUGAUCACACAGGAAUUCUGCUGUCACGCUGCAAUGAUUUCACUAGCUGCAGCAGCACAAUUUCUCCAUUCCCGUCAGCCUUUCCUUGUGGCUUGUGUAAUCAAUCUCCUAACUUCCUUUGAUGCUUCCUUGCAUGUAUGGAGUCUGAGUUAAAGCACACCUACAUAGCAGGCCAGUUCAGAACUUACACUGCAUCAUGCUACUGCCCGUAAUUACAACAUAGACUGACACCAACACAUAACCUUUUAUCAAACAGGUUGUGUGCAAGAGUUCCAAAAAAUUUUAACAUCAAAUAAUUAAGCAGGUUUUAAUCACGGAAGCACUUCAAAAGGAUCCUAGGAAUAGCUCUAGAUUAGAUUGGACGGACAUCAAUGAAUAACAGCAAGCAAUUGGACCAGAAAAGCAGUUUUCAAAAAAUAUCACAAACUGUUUGUGAUAAUGCUUCAAAGAGCAGUCAACAUUAUGCAGAAUUGGUUAAUUCAGUCUCGGCAAUAACACUUUACUGAAUGCAUUGGUUAAUUUGACUUUUUUAUUGUUUGGAUCUUCUAAAUGAUAUUUUACAGAACCAAGCUUUUACUACAUCCAAAAAUUAACGAAUCAACCAAAUUCAAUUUGACAAACAGAAUGUAUUACUGCACUACUACGGUCUCAACAGGAAUUGACUCAAAAAUUGCAAGUCACAUAGGCAUUUUGCAUAUAACAGCAAUUGGUCAGCUUAGACAGCUUCAAACAUGUUUGAAUGAUUAAAACAAACUUAUUUGAGCACAAUUUCAGUUACAAUUCAUAGCAUAUCAGAAUUGGAGUAUGGCAGUUCUGAUUUAAGUCAUUUUAAACAACUAUGACAGCCAAAUUUUGAAAACAAUUGUAAUUCAACUCAAACACAACAAGAGUGAACUUAGGACAAUCAAAUAAAAUUGCUCAAAGUGGCAGAAAAUGAUUUAGAUGGCUGGAUAUGAUCUAAAGUACUUUAGCCAGUUUUACACGCAGAAAGUAAUCAACUAAGUCAAGUGCAGAUCGAUUAACUGCAAGUAUCAAAGUAUUCUGACUUUGCACACUCAUUUCAUGCCUAAAACAAUUUUCAUUAUGGAACAACUUUCAUGUAACACGAGAAUUAUGUAGAAACAAGUCACUUAACAGCUCCAAACAAUGAAACAGUACACAUAACAAUUGUAGGCAAUGAAACAGUACCACUGAAUUUCAAAAUCAGAUGCAGUGUGAUCUGUUAUGGAUCUACUGAAUUCUCAAAGAUUAUCACCAAUUCAUACACAUGAGCUCAUCAUCUCAAUUGUCAUCGCUCAUAUAUUGUCAGAGACAUGUAUCUCAUAUAGAUUUUCAGUACAAACGCAGAUCACACGGUUUUCAACCAGAUUUUAAACAAAAAUGGAAUUGCACAUGACAUAUGACAUAACAGGAUGGAUGCUCAAAUUAAAAAUGACUCAACCAAAAAUUUCAACCGAUUAAAAUGAAAAGACUCAAUCAAUUAAAAAAAAUAGCACGGUUCAAGACUCAAAGAUCCUAAAAAUGUCAAAACCAAUGAAACAGUAACAGGAAUCAACAGAGACAGUGAAGGAAUGGUGGUGACAGAAUUUAAAUUGCAGAAAGAUGAACUUAUCUCACGGCUCCAGCAUCCUUGCUCUGAAUACCACUUCAUGAGCCACGUAUGGAGAUAGAUCUGCUGAACCGAGAGAAGUUCCAAGAAACAGAGAAGUUGCUGGAUGUCAAGAACACUACGUCAGACUUCAAGCAGAAUCACAGGCAACGGAAGUGAUGUCCAUGGCAGUGGAUGGAUAUGCGAUCUAUGGAGAUAUGGAAACGGAAGCUAUGCUUAGGAGGUGACUACAACUCAGGCAGCCUUCCAUACAAGGAAGGAAGUUGUAGGGAAAGAUUUAAGCUAGGAAUGACUUUCAGAAGGAGAGAUGGCCAAAGCAAAUCUCAGCAGAAAUUCUCAUUUAUCUAAAAGUGAUUUUACAUAUGCUGCAAGAUGGAUUUAUAGGAAAUCCAAUGAGCUAUGUGUGCUGUAGAUGGAUUCCGAGAGAAAUGGAUCUCCAUCCA